CUCAUAUUUUGCCCUCUCCAUCCACAGCUUGUUCUCAGCUCUCUCCUUGCAUGAAUCAACAGCAGUUCCAGGACAGGGAGACACCAUCAGGAACUUAGCCUUCACACAGAAAGACUCCAGAUCUCAGAGAGCAGUGCCCAAGAUGCCCAGACAGAACCCUGGUAUUUUCUACUGUGAGUUUCAUGCUGCAAAUACACAAUAAACAAAUCAACAGUUAUUUUGCAUAUAUACCCAGGUUUCUUCAUUUAUUUGAAAAGAAGAAGGAGGAAUGAAGAAAAAUGGACAGAGACUGGAGUGCAGUGGCAUGAUCACAGCUCACUGCAGCCUCAACUUCCUGGGCUCAGAUGAUUCUCCCACUUCAGCCUCCUGAGUAGCUGGGACUACAGUGUACCCUACCAUACCCAGAGAUCGAGGCCGAGAUUAUCAGUUGCUAACCUGACUUGCUAAUUAACUGGUUGAGAAAGAAAGGCUUGGAACGAGACUUCUGUCCUCAAAAGCAAAGCUGGAAUACGUAAGAAUAUAGAAGGUAACUAUCAAUGAUGAUUUUUUGUUACCAUUUUUUUCUGGCAAAACAUAUACAACAUCCUAGUAAAUCAGAG
rnacentral:lncRNA from 1 species